rnacentral:rRNA from 1 species
UACAGGGGGUGCAAACGUUGCUCGGAAUCAUUGGGCGUAAAGCGCACGUAGGCGGUUCGUUAUGUCGGAUGUGAAAGCCCUUGGCUUAACCGAGGAAGUGCAUCCGAAACUGGCGAGCUAGAGUACGAAAGAGGAUCGCGGAAUUCCCGGUGUAGAGGUGAAAUUCGUAGAUAUCGGGAGGAACACCGGUGGCGAAGGCGGCGAUCUGGGUCGAUACUGACGCUGAGGUGCGACAGCGUGGGGAGCAAACAGG